rnacentral:rRNA from 1 species
AUGGAUGACUCUCUGCUGUCUCCCGUCACCGUCGAGGUCGCGCACGCUCCUUCCCCUCGAGCGGAUCUCGUCGCCGGCCAUGUUGGUCCCGCCGUCGCCCAAGGCAACGCCGCGCCUGCCCGCAAGCGACAGGGCAACGUGGUCAUGCAUGGCGGGAAUCCGGCAGCCCCCUCCGCGAAGGCCCGCGCUCCGGGCGCCAACGCUGCUGCGCGAUCUUGGCCGGCGGCGGAGAAGGUGGCCAAGGCCGCUGGUGGCAAGAAGAAGAGGAUUCCGGCUACAAAGAAGCCACCUCCUUCAUCCGCUCACUCCGCCCCGGAAAGAGGUGCCUGA